UCCGUAGGUGACAAGCGUUGUUCGGAAUUACUGGGCGUAAAGAGUGUGUAGGCGGUGCUCUAAGUUCGGUGUGAAAUCUCCCGGCUUAACUGGGAGGGUGCGCCGGAAACUGGAGUGCUCGAGCGUGGGAGAGGAAAGCGGAAUUCCUGGUGUAGCGGUGAAAUGCGUAGAUAUCAGGAGGAACACCUGCGGUGUAGACGGCUUUCUGGACCAUUGCUGACGCUGAGACACGAAAGCGUGGGUAGCAAACAGG
rnacentral:rRNA from 1 species